rnacentral:rRNA from 1 species
UACGUAGGGUGCGAGCGUUGUCCGGAAUUAUUGGGCGUAAAGAGCUCGUAGGCGGCUUGUCGCGUCGGUUGUGAAAGCCCGGGGCUUAACUCCGGGUCUGCAGUCGAUACGGGCAGGCUAGAGUGUGGUAGGGGAGAUCGGAAUUCCUGGUGUAGCGGUGAAAUGCGCAGAUAUCAGGAGGAACACCGGUGGCGAAGGCGGUUCUCUGGGCAUUACCUGACGCUGAGGAGCGAAAGUGUGGGGAGCGAACAGG